GAAACUUGGGAGAAUUGAUGCUAGACUUGUCUAUGCUCUUCUCCCUUAAUCCAUACACACCUGUGCACUUUGAGAGGAGAGAUUGGUUAACACUGAUUUGUCCUUUCCUACACAAACCCCUUUUUGUAAAACGAAUGUUCAUUGGCCGAAAGGCUCUAAAAAAUACAACUUUUAACAACGGAUCUCUUGGCUCU
rnacentral:misc_RNA from 1 species